rnacentral:misc_RNA from 1 species
CCGGUUGUUUCUUCUGGAGACUCUCCAACAGGACUGAAAGCCCCACCCCCCGGUGGGGCUUUCUUUUUGCCCAC